rnacentral:rRNA from 1 species
CCUACGGGAGGCAGCAGUGGGGAAUAUUGCACAAUGGGCGAAACCCUGAUGCAGCGACGCCGCGUGAGGGAAGAAGGAUCUCGGUAUGUAAAGCUCUAUCAGCAGGGAAGAAAAUGACGGUACCUGACUAAGAAUCACCGGCUAACUACGACCCAGCAGCCGCGGCAAUACGUCGGGGGCAAGCGUUAUCCGGAUUUACUUGGCGUAAAGGGCGCGUUGACGGCAGUACAAGUCUGGAGUGAAAACCCGGGGCUUAACCCCGGAACUGCUUUUGAAACUGGGAGGCUGGAGUGCAGGAGAGGUAGGCGGAAUUCCUAGUGUAGCGGUGAAAUGCGUAGAUAUUAGGAGGAACACCGGUGGCGAAGGCGGCUUGCUGGACUGUAACUGACGUUGAGGCUCGAAAGCGUGGGGAGCAAACAGGAUUAGAUACCCGGGUAGUC